GAAUUAUUGAACAGACAAGCCAGCUUUUGGGGUAGACCUCUCCACAAUAAGAAUGGAGAAGCAUCUGAGGACUUCAUUUGCUGCUUUGUGGCUUUAUUUUUGCUGGGCGAGUGGGAAAAACCAAGUGGAACAGAGUCCUCAGUCCCUGAAAGUCCUGGAGGGAGAGAACUGCACUCUCCAAUGCAAUUACACCGUGAGCCCCUUUGGCAACUUAAGAUGGUACAAAUGGGACACAGGGAAAGAUCCUGUUGUCCUGACAGUCAUGACUUACAGUGACAGCAAACGGUCGAAUGGAAGGUACACAGCAACUCUGGAUGCUGCUGCCAAGCGAAGCUCUCUGCUCAUCACAGCCGCCCAGCUCAGCGACUCAGCUCCCUACGUCUGUGUGGUGGGCGCACUGUGCUCCCCGGGCACCAGCAGCCAGUACCCAAACCUGCACCUGGAGGUUAUCAAAGAGGUUUAG